UUUGACUACUGGAAUAUAAACGACUGCAACAAUGUACUGUAAAUCUAUAUGGAUGCUCUUCGACUGCUUGUCGAAGUCCUUUUUGCCCCAGUCGGUAGGUCUCUAGAUGUUACAGAGAACCCCGAACAACCCAAACUGUUAAUCUUCAAUACCGCUUUGUACUUACGAUCUUGUAUCCACUGACUGUCUUGUUAGAUUAACCCAAUAAAUUUCAUUCAUUCCGCAUACUCAAUCCUAUAGACACCCUUUUAAUCCUUCAAU
rnacentral:lncRNA from 1 species